AUCUAAGGCACUAGCCACCUACAUAUCCUGGGAACCGGAUCUUGUCUGAUUUUAGAAGCUAAGGAGGGUCAGCCCUGAUUAGUCCUUACAUGGGAGACCACCAAGGAUUACUAGGUGCUGUAGGCU
rnacentral:rRNA from 11 species